UGGGGAAUCUUCCGCAAUGGACGAAAGUCUGACGGAGCAACGCCGCGUGAGUGAUGACGGCCUUCGGGUUGUAAAGCUCUGUUAAUCGGGACGAAAGGCCUUCUUGCGAAUAGUGAGAAGGAUUGACGGUACCGGAAUAGAAAGCCACGGCUAACUACGUGCCAGCAGCCGCGGUAAUACGUAGGUGGCAAGCGUUGUCCGGAAUUAUUGGGCGUAAAGCGCGCGCAGGCGGAUCGGUCAGUCUGUCUUAAAAGUUCGGGGCUUAACCCCGUGAUGGGAUGGAAACUGCUGAUCUAGAGUAUCGGAGAGGAAAGUGGAAUUCCUAGUGUAGCGGUGAAAUGCGUAGAUAUUAGGAAGAACACCAGUGGCGAAGGCGACUUUCUGGACGAAAACUGACGCUGAGGCGCGAAAGCCAGGGGAGCGAACGGGAUUAGAUACCCCGGUAGUCCUGGCCGUAAACGAUGGGUACUAGGUGUAGGAGGUAUCGACCCCUUCUGUGCCGGAGUUAACGCAAUAAGUACCCCGCCUGGGGAGUACGACCGCAAGGUUG
rnacentral:rRNA from 1 species